CUUCGGGGUGCCGGACGGAAUCCGGCUGAGAUAGGGCGACCAAUCGCGCCCUGACCCGCUGAACCUGCUACGGAUCAUACCGGCGAAGGGAAAGA
rnacentral:ncRNA from 1 species